rfam:Hammondia hammondi strain H.H.34 contig01334, whole genome shotgun sequence.
GCCACCUUAGCUUAGUGGUAGAGCAUCGGUCUUGUAAACCGAAGGUCGUGGGUUCGAUUCCCAUAGGUGGCU